rnacentral:rRNA from 1 species
GACGAACGCUGGCGGCGUGCUUAACACAUGCAAGUCGAACGGACAGGCCCCUUUGGGGUUACUCGAGUGGCGAACGGGUGCGUACCACGUGAGUAACCUGCCCUUGGCUUCCGGAUAACUUUAGGAAACUGGGGCUAAUACAGGAUAGAAAUCCUUGCUGCAUGGUGGGGGGUGGAUAGCUUCGGCGGUUUUGGCUGGACUCGCGGUGUGUCGGCUUGUUGGUGGGGGAGUGGGUUACCAAGGCUUUCGCGGGCAGGCGGCCUGAGGGGGGGACCGGCCACAUUGGGACGGAGGCACGGCCCAGACUCCGAAGGGGGGGAGAAGUGGGGAAGCUUGCACAAGGGGCGGAAGGCUGGUGCAGAAGCGCCGCGGGCGGGAAGACGGCCUUCGGGGUGGAAACCGGGUUCAGCAGGGGAGAAGCGUGUGGUGACGGUACCUGAUGAAGAAGCACCGGCUAACUACGUG